rnacentral:rRNA from 1 species
UACGUAGGAUGCAAGCGUUUGUCCGGAAUUAUUGGGCGUAAAGAGCGCGCAGGCGGUCACUCAAGUCAGAUGUGAAAUAUCCGGGCUUAACCCGGAGGGUCAUUUGAAACUGAGUAACUAGAGUACAGCAGAGGAUAGCGGAAUUCCCGGUGUAGUGGUGAAAUGCGUAGAUAUCGGGAGGAACACCAGUGGCGAAGGCGGCUAUCUGGGCUGAAACUGACGCUGAGGCGCGAAGGCUAGGGGAGCAAACAGG